rnacentral:rRNA from 1 species
GAUGAACGCUAGCGGCAGGCUUAAUACAUGCAAGUCGUGGGGCAGCGCAGGUAGCAAUACUAGGCGGCGACCGGCAAACGGGUGCGGAACACGUACACAACCUUCCGAGAAGUGGGGAAUAGCCCAGAGAAAUUUGGAUUAAUACCCCGUAACAUAACGAUGUGGCAUCACAUUGUUAUUAUAGCUUCGGCGCUUCUUGAUGGGUGUGCGGCUGAUUAGAUAGUUGGCGGGGUAACGGCCCACCAAGUCUACGAUCAGUAGCUGAUGUGAGAGCAUGAUCAGCCACACGGGCACUGAGACACGGACCCGACUCCUACGGGAGGCAGCAGUAAGGAAUAUUGGUCAAUGGACGCAAGUCUGAACCAGCCAUGCCGCGUGAAGGAUUAAGGUCCUCUGGAUUGUAAACUUCUUUUAUCUGGGACGAAAAAAGGCGAUUCUUCGUCACUUGACGGUACCAGAUGAAUAAGCACCGGCUAACUCCGUGCCAGCAGCCGCCGUAA